UCAUAUAACUGUUUUUUUUUUUUUCUUAUAAGCUAUUUCAUGCAUGUUAAGGUGUGUGGUCCCUUAUUCUAUGAAUCGAAACUGAAUUUCGAUUCUUCUUUUUUUUUUUAUUAGAAUUGGAAUCAAAUGUUUGAUUUUAAUUUUUAAUUUUAAUUUUGAUUUUAUUUUUAAUUUUUUUUCACUUAAAACUAUUAUAUUAUUGUGUUUUUUCAAACGAAUAAAAGUAAUUAUAAAUUAAAAAAAAGUACACUUUAAUACCUCUGAUCGUGCAGUUUAUUAAUGGGGGCCUAAAGUCUUUUUUUCUUUAAUUCAAAGGCUUGUGUUAUCAUAUCAUUAACAUUUAAGAAGAAAAUUGCUAAAUCGUGUCAAUAUAUGUUGAUGUAGUAAGUCUUUUUGUACUCUUAAAUUAAUAUAGCAAGUGAAACCCAUAUAUUUAGCUAUAUAUAAUUAUAGAGGUAAGCAUUCAGUUCAAACUGAAUCAAAUCGAAUCGAACCAAAUUAAAUUAUAAAAAUCAAACCGUAAAUUUUAGAAACCGAACCGAACUCAAAUGAGUGAAAAAUCGAAUCGAACCGAACCACUCUAUUUUGGUUCGAUUUGGUUUAAACCGAUUGGUUUGAUUUUUUAUUGAUUUUUUAAUUUAGAUUUGAUUUUCAAGUUAUUUGAUUUAAUUUUGACUUUGGUUUGAACCU
rnacentral:misc_RNA from 1 species